rnacentral:rRNA from 1 species
UACGAAGGGGGCUAGCGUUGCUCGGAAUUACUGGGCGUAAAGCGCACGUAGGCGGCUUUCUAAGUCGGAGGUGAAAUCCUGGAGCUCAACUCCAGAACUGCCUUCGAUACUGGAGAGCUUGAGUCCGGGAGAGGUGAGUGGAACUGCGAGUGUAGAGGUGAAAUGUGUAGAGAUCGGGAGGAACACCGGUGGCGAAGGCGGUCUUCUGGACGGUGACUGACGCUGAGGUGCGAAAGCGUGGGGAGCAAACAGG